rnacentral:siRNA from 1 species
CUAAUAGUUAUUCUUUGGUAUCAA